UCCCCGGUAGCUCAGUCGGUAGAGCAACGGACUGUUAAUCCGUCGGUCGCUGGUUCGAGUCCAGCCCGGGGAGCCA
rnacentral:tRNA from 1 species